rnacentral:tRNA from 1 species
GGUUCGGUACCUUAGUUGGUAAAGCACUCGUCUAGCAAACAAGGUUCGUGGGUUCGAAUCCCACCUGAGCAC